CUCCUCUCAGAGUCACACCUGGAGAGUUUCCAGUAUUCCACCAGUCUCGAUUACGGGAGGGAGAGUCAAGCAGUGGCCUACCCAUUCCAUUCCUAGCUUGGCCUGUGGCCAGCGAGUGGAAAGCAAUCUGCUACAAGU
rnacentral:snoRNA from 1 species